rnacentral:rRNA from 1 species
UACGGAGGGGGCUAGCGUUGUUCGGAAUUACUGGGCGUAAAGCGUACGUAGGCGGCUUUGUAAGUUAGAGGUGAAAGCCCGGGGCUCAACUCCGGAAUUGCCUUUAAGACUGCAUCGCUUGAAUCAUGGAGAGGUGAGUGGAAUUCCGAGUGUAGAGGUGAAAUUCGUAGAUAUUCGGAAGAACACCAGUGGCGAAGGCGACUCACUGGACAUGUAUUGACGCUGAGGUGCGAAAGCGUGGGGAGCAAACAGG